AGUGAACGCUGGCGGCAGGCCUAACACAUGCAAGUCGAACGGCAGCACAGAGGAGCUUGCUCCUUGGGUGGCGAGUGGCGGACGGGUGAGGAAUACAUGGGAAUCCGCCCAAUCGUGGGGGAUAACGUAGGGAAACUUACGUUAAUACCGCAUACGACCUACGGGUGAAAGCGGCGGACCGCAAGGCGUCGCGCGAUUGGAUGAGCCCAUGUCGGAUUAGCUAGUUGGCGGGGUAAAGGCCCACCAAGGCGACGAUCCGUAGCUGGUCUGAGAGGAUGAUCAGCCACACUGGAACUGAGACACGGUCCAGACUCCUACGGGAGGCAGCAGUGGGGAAUAUUGGACAACGGGCGCAAGCCUGAUCCAGCCAUGCCGCGUGAGUGAAGAAGGCCCUCGGGUUGUAAAGCUCUUUUGUCCGGAAAGAAAAGCUUUCGGUUAAUACCCAAGCGUCAUGACGGUACCGGAAGAAUAAGCACCGGCUAACUUCGUGCCAGCAGCCGCCGUAAAAC
rnacentral:rRNA from 1 species